CGCGGCCUAUCAGCUUGUUGGUGAGGUAAUGGCUCACCAAGGCGACAACGGGUAGCCGGCCUGAGAGGGUGACCGGCCACACUGGGACUGAGACACGGCCCAGACUCCUACGGGAGGCAGCAGUGGGGAAUAUUGCACAAUGGGCGAAAGCCUGAUGCAGCGACGCCGCGUGAGGGAUGACGGCCUUCGGGUUGUAAACCUCUUUCAGUAGGGAAGAAGCGAAAGUGACGGUACCUGCAGAAGAAGCACCGGCUAACUACGUGCCAGCAGCCGCGGUAAUACGUAGGGUGCGAGCGUUAUCCGGAAUUAUUGGGCGUAAAGAGCUCGUAGGCGGUUUGUCGCGUCUGUCGUGAAAGUCCGGGGCUUAACCCCGGAUCUGCGGUGGGUACGGGCAGACUAGAGUGCAGUAGGGGAGACUGGAAUUCCUGGUGUAGCGGUGGAAUGCGCAGAUAUCAGGAGGAACACCGAUGGCGAAGGCAGGUCUCUGGGCUGUAACUGACGCUGAGGAGCGUAAGCAUGGGGAGCGAACAGGAUUAGAUACCCUGGUAGUCCAUGCCGUAAACGUUGGGCACUAGGUGUGGGGACCAUUCCACGGUUUCCGCGCCGCAGCUAACGCAUUAAGUGCCCCGCCUGGGGAGUACGG
rnacentral:rRNA from 1 species